UGGGCAACCUGCCCCUCUCUCUGGGAUAACCCCGGGAAACCGGAGCUAAUACCGGAUACUCCGGCUGGAUCGCAUGGUCCGGCCGGGAAAGGUCCGCCGGAGAGGGAUGGGCCCGCGGCCUAUCAACUUGUUGGUGGGGUCAUGGCUCACCAAGGCGACGACGGGUAGCUGGUCUGAGAGGACGACCAGCCACACUGGAACUGAGAUACGGUCCAGACCUCCUACGGGAGGCA
rnacentral:rRNA from 1 species